GGAUCACCAAAACAACUUGUGUUUUGACAGCUCUCCCUGCUCAAGUAUUCCAAAGUUAUACUGCACAUAAAUGGAAUAAAAAUGAGAAGAAGACUACAGGAAAGAGAGAACAGCAAGAAAGAAGUAACCUCGAAGUUCACAGGGCAAGAGAGGAGGGUUUGGAUGGCGUUUAAUAGUCCAAAAGGACAAUGGGAACAUGUUAAGCAGUUGAUGGACUGAAACCUCUACAAACUGUGAGCCAAAUAAACCUUUCCUCCUUUAACUUUGGGCAUCAGGUAUUUUGUCUCAGCAAUGAGAAAAAUAACUGAGACAGUAACAUCUAGACUUCAACAUGCAUCUAUUUUUAAAACUGAAAUUAAUGGACAGACUAAAAACAUCCUCUAAGGGCAAUAGAAAAUACAUACUGAAUAAAACAAGCCAGAGUUGGGAAAGAUGCUCUCCCAGAAUGACAAAAUCAGCAAUAUCAGUUUUACCUAGAUGUUUUUCCCUUUGCAGACUUAGUUAUGUAGUUAUCUUAAUAUUCAUAAAUAGGGUGCCAAACUUAAGAACUACGUAGAAAUUAUUAACCUAUAUUUAAGAGUACAUUUUUGCUUCUUGUGUGAGAGUAAUUUAUAGAAGAUGAUGCUCCCUCUGCGAAUAACUAGAAAAAUUAAAUAAAGUACAGAAAUCUUAUAUUUCAAGGCCUCAGAAAGCUGUGUAAGCAGCAAGACCCUGAAAGGAAAGGGAGCUCAUUGAGAGAAGCCUGACUUUGGCAAUCAAGUUUCCCCUGAAGGUGAGCACAGCAUGACCUGCCAGUUCCUAUAGAAAUUCAUACAUAACUGAACCAAAAGACAGGCAAGAAAGCUCAUAUGUUUAUUACUUGCAACAAUACCAACUUGAAAACUACCCAAACAUCUUUGAGCAGCAGAGUGGAUGAAUAAAUUGAGACAUAUUUCCAUACAAGACAUUCAGAAUGAAAUAAUUACAGCUGUAUGAAACCCCGUGGAUGAAUCUCAUAAAGGUAACACCGAAUAUCCUGUUAAAUAGUUGGAAAUCCUGCAAUUUAAUCUGUAGUGUUAGAAGUCAAGAUAAUGGUAACUUUGGAUCUUUGAUCAUGGUGAAAAUAGGAGUGGGGAAGAGGUUCUUUUACUAAGUCCUGGAAAUGUUCUUGUUUCUGACACUGACUGUCUAUAUUCCCUUUGUGGAAAUUCAGCAAAUAGAGUUUGUGUGUGUGUGUGUGUGUGUGUGUGUGUGUGUGUGGUAUUAGUGCUUUUCCUCAUGUAUGUCACAGCUUCCCAACAUUCUUACUUCAAAAAAUUUAUGAGAAAGAAUGUCUCUUGUACUGGUUUUCUGAUAUCCUUGGAGCAAAUCUAUCUCACAGAAGCGCCUUAGAUUAUCAGAGAGUGACUGGAGGCAAGAGAAUGUGAUCACUCAGAAUCUAAAUUGAAUUUAAACCUAAGACAAUCUGCCAUCAGAGUGCAUGCACCUUUAGUUGUUUUCUCUGAGAUUCUCUGCCGGCCAACACCAGCAUGACUGCUCAUUUUGAACAGUAUCCUUACCCACCCUGGGCCCCACUGCUCUGAGAGCCUUUUGUUGGCCACUUCCCAGGCCCACUGUGCAGCCACUGCCCCCUACACACACCAGGUGGCAGGACUGAGAUACUCUUCUGCAGCAGUGGAUCCAUCUUUACCCCUUUCUUCGGACCCUGAGGAUCUAGUGGAUCCAUAAAGAAAUAUUAUUGCCAUGGCCCAAGGCCUCUUGUUGCCGCUCCCUAUACUUCUUUAUCAGGCUGAAGAGACUACCACCACCUGGUUAUAGAUGAAGAUUCCUAGCACCACCCAGCACUUCUGAGCAGUUUGCUUCCUCUCUUUGCUCUUUGAGGUUAUAGUUGCCUACUCUGCCCCUGUGUGUUUUUAAUGGUUCUUCUUUACCAGAGGGUCUACCUUGGUCUACAGAUUUGGCUCUGCCACCCUUGGACCCUGGGCCACAUGUGGAAAUAGAGUUACAAAGCAACUCUUCCAUGAAGGCGAUGGGAUGUUUUAUUACAUGGUCUUGUGCUGAAUCUACAAUAAUCUUCUCCAGGGAAAAAAAUCUGCAGUGCUCUGAAUGUUUCAGAACUUAAUUUUUUUUUUUUUUUGGCCUGGUGCAUCAUCUACACACACACACAGACACAGACACACACACACACACACACACACACACACACACACACACACCCCUGGAAUCCAUAUUAAAAAAUAAAAAAGAGUGAUCUAAUCUUAUUAGCCUGAUUGGAACCCACAAAAAUGUACAAAAUCCUACUGUAUCAACAGUCAUCUUUCAUCACAGAAUCGAUCAGGGUGCCUCGUUAGUAGCAACACAGUGACUCUCAGAAGUGCUACUUUCCCUCUCGGAGUGUACUAAACCAGGAGGGAAACAUGCAUGAAGCUGGUGAGUGGCAGGGCUGGGAGAACCAGGUGUCAGCCUUGAUAGGGACCUGAAGGACAGCCAGUGCAUCCUGCAUUGUCGGAGAGUGAAGCAUUGUGUCCCUAAAAGAGGGGAGACUUUGGCUGUGGUAGUGUGGGUUGCAGCCCUACAGGAUGGCCUUUAAUAUCAGCCUGAGCGAAAGACCGUGAUGCUCAAAGCCACUCUGAAUGCAUGUAACAGAUGGCAGGGAUGAAGUCAUCUCCCGAAGGGUCAGCUGCAACCCCAGAUGUGUUCUUACCUCAGCCCUCACCCAAAAAGAGCCAGAGAGUGGCUCCUGAUUGGGAAAAUGCAGGGACCUAUGCCUACACGUCCAUCCCUAGCAGACCCGGUGCCUGGCCAGGCCUGGUAACCAGGAAGGGCCCCACCCCUAAUUCUCUGCCAAACAUUGUUCCUGGGUUUUAUAGCCUUAGACACCUAACCACCUUUUCCCAAAGAACCUCACCCAUUUUACCUCAGCUCCACCCCAUCCCAUUCCUAGGACAGACCUGUAAUUAUCGGACCUGAAAAGCAGCCCAAGAUACUACGGCAGGACAGCCCCAAGCAAGUGGGUAUGCUGUAAGGUUUUUUUCUGCAACACCCCAUCCCUGUGGUUAUCCUGCAUCAUCCUCUCAUUACCUUGCACCAGGGGCUGUGCCAAGUAGGCCUGCUUGGGGCCAGGACAAGGGUGAAAUGGAGCCCCCAUCCUAUGAUCUUCACUCUUCUCUUCCAGCCCUAUGGCUUUGUCCAUAGGAUAGAGCACACCCCUAUAUAUACACCACAUCCCACUCUUUCACCCCUACCCCAAGCAGCAGUCCCCUAACAGUCCUGGGCCUGGACAUGUACAUACCAUGCAUGCUUUAGGAGGCAGAGCUGGUAAAAGUCCCCUGCAGGCCCUAGGUACAGGCUCAGAACCAUUUGGGCAGGGAACUCAGUUCUGAGAUGUUCAGGGUGUGGUGUAGAUGAAAGGAUGCGGGACCCAGGAGGGGACAUUCACUUGCCUCUGAAGAAUUCUUGCCAGACAAAGGCCAAAAUUGAGUUCUCAGGGCAGAGACACAAUGCCUGGUCCAGGGAUGUGUUACUGGCCCCAGCUGACUCAAGGCUUCCUGGUGCCUAGUAUCUUCUUUCUUCCUGCUGAAGACAUUUGUGCUGGAUUAAACCGAGCUCUAUUGCACAGUAGGGCUAUACUGAAUAUACAGUUAAGAAUAAUACUAUAGUUAAUAAUAAUUAUUGUGUAUUUCAUAAUAGGUAUGAGAG
ensembl:lncRNA